CCUACGGGGGGCAGCAGUGGGGAAUAUUGCACAAUGGGCGCAAGCCUGAUGCAGCCAUGCCGCGUGUGUGAAGAAGGCCUUCGGGUUGUAAAGCACUUUCAGCGGGGAGGAAGGCGUUAAGGUUAAUAACCUUGGCGAUUGACGUUAUCCGCAGAAGAAGCACCGGCUAACUCCGUGCCAGCAGCCGCGGUAAUACGGAGGGUGCAAGCGUUAAUCGGAAUUACUGGGCGUAAAGCGCACGCAGGCGGUCUGUCAAGUCGGAUGUGAAAUCCCCGGGCUCAACCUGGGAACUGUAUUCGAAACUGGCAGGCUAGAGUCUUGUAGAGGGGGGUAGAAUUCCAGGUGUAGCGGUGAAAUGCGUAGAGAUCUGGAGGAAUACCGGUGGCGAAGGCGGCCCCCUGGACAAAGACUGACGCUCAGGUGCGAAAGCGUGGGGAGCAAACAGGAUUAGAUACCCGUGUAGUC
rnacentral:rRNA from 1 species